GUUUCAGUCUUGUUUCACAGAGUGAAAUUUAACUAGUGUUGUUGUUGAAACUUCUUACUCUAAAUUGCCACCAAUUUCCACACGCCAUGAGGUCCUUGUUGAUUUGCGCAGUCAUCCUUGCUCUAAUGACUACCUGCUACUCAGAGUCCUUCUCAAUGUCUUGUACCACUCUGCCAAACGGAGAAAUGAGUUGCAAGAAAGUGUAUAGCGCCACUGGCUCUGAAUCGCAUUCCUUCGCUGGGAGCGGAAGAACAUUCGCUGAAGCAGGAGGAAGACGUGCCUACAAUGAUUAUGAUGUUUAUAAAUAGAAAACUGUUCAUGAAAAGAUUGAUUGAUUGAUUGAUGGCUUUCUGGUCUGAAUUUCAUAUCGCAACUUCCAGUCUCUUAUCUCUGAACGAAAUUAAUGCAUGUAGCUACAUUUGAAAUUUAUAUGUAUUUCUUUCAAUAAUAAAUUUCUGAUUUUUAAAAGGCA